ensembl:lncRNA
GGAGAAGAGAAAAGGCAAGGAGGCCCUCCUGGAGGUGGCUUCCUUGGGAGUGCCAGGCUGGCUUUGCGGACGACCUGCUCUUCCAGCCAAAGCUCGUCGGUAGGUUCUGGCCCUUGCCUCACUCCUGUCCCUUUGUUGGCUUCCUCGGCCCGGGUCUGCACGACCCCCUCCACCGCAGGGCUCACACCACAAAGUCACCCCAGUCUGCAACCUCUCUCCUUCCUCUGCUAGUUCUGGGCCUCUGAGCUCCUCUCUCUCCACCUCUCUUCCUCCCUCCGGGCUUCUUUUCCCCCCUCCGGGCUUCUUUUCCCGGCCUUCGUGGGUGGAAUGUUUUUCUUGGGAUCACACAUAAGCUUUCGCUCGCACACAAGUCCGCUGCACAGCGGCGGGCUACCGACACGCCUCCGCGCACCGCUCGGGGCAGGCAGGCUCCCGCGGCUGAGCCGACUCCGCCCAAGCUGGUCGCCCAGAGCGCCGCUCUCCCCGUGCGGCUCACAAAGGCAGCCUCCUCUGGCCUCGAGCCCGGGGGCUUUCGUAGCGCGGUUCCUUCCCCACCCCCACGAAAUCCCAGGGCUCAUUCCGCCGGGUAGGAGACCCGAGGUCCGUGGGGCAUGUAGGCCAGCACCCCACGACUCGAGCCAAAAUCUCUUAAACCACCCGUGAAGACUGGAUGAAAGGCGAGCCCGGUCCCUUGCAAGCCGCUUGUUGGGCUCAAAGCGCCUUUCAUGGCUGUACUAGAAAGGGAAGGAGCGAGGAAGAGACAAAACGCCGCCGAGGCCUGGAGCUGUUCAUGGCAUCCGCAGCUCAGCCAAGCUGCUGUUGUUUUAAAAGAGCAAUAAAAAUGAAUUAUGACUAAACGCCUUCUAACUUAAUGCUUUCGGACGGGGAUCCCCGGCAAAUACGUAAGAGGAUUUUUAUUUGUGCAUGUGUUCCUGCAAUUGAUCUCUUUGAUGACAUUCUCAUUCAUAGAAAGCGUUUGAUUUAUGAGUGGAGGAUGAAUCGCAAACAGCAGCGGCUUAGCCCUGGCCGCGGCCCGGCCGCCUGCUCCGCUCUGCUCCGCUCCGCGCCGAGGGCAGGAGACCUACCCGGGUCCUCACUCGCCUCCGCCGCUGCCAGGAUUUAGGGGGCAAAAGGUGGGGGAGGUAGGCAGUAAAUCCGUGGAGAAAGAUCGCGAUUUCCUCAUAACUUCCAAUCCUUUGCUAUUAAGAGCCGGGUUCUUAAAUCAACCCACCCCCCACACAUGUUGCUUACACUCUGCGUUUUCUCACGACCUGUUUGCCUGGACCCAUCAACAGCUGGGAGACUAAUCAACCACACUGAAAAUGUUUUGGCAUUUGUGGGGGAGGGAGUUGGGAUGUAGAUAUUUGAAACAAACAUGUAUAAAUAAAUGAAUUGUUGAUAACUUAGUUAUUGACCUGGAGACUGGUAGCUUGUUAAAGAAACUCCAUGUUCCUCCUUCCUGGAGUUGGAGGUUUCUGUAGGCACUUUAUUUCUCCACUUUCAAAAGCUUGGGCUUGGCCCAACUCAGGCUGCCCAAUCCUGUUUCUAUUGCCAAUUUAAAUCUAUGGCUUGAACCUCUACGUUGAAAACCUAAUCCAUUCCCUUAAAAAAAAAAAAACAAAACAAAAACAAAAAGCAAAACACACUUCUCAGAAGCCCUAACCCUUUUCUGGCUUUCCUUAUUGUUGCUGUUUCUGUCUGUUGAAGACUUUGAAUAUGCCCAUUCAAUAAAUAUAUUAAAAUU